UACGAAGGGGGCUAGCGUUGUUCGGAAUCACUGGGCGUAAAGCGCACGUAGGCGGAUCUUUAAGUCAGAGGUGAAAUCCUGGAGCUCAACUCCAGAACUGCCUUUGAUACUGGGGAUCUCGAGUCCGGGAGAGGUGAGUGGAACUGCGAGUGUAGAGGUGAAAUUCGUAGAUAUUCGCAAGAACACCAGUGGCGAAGGCGGCUCACUGGCCCGGUACUGACGCUGAGGCGCGAAAGCGUGGGGAGCGAACAGG
rnacentral:rRNA from 1 species